AGGCUGAGCUACUGUGCCCAGCAGAUAGUACCUCUUAAAAGCAAGAGAAGAGAUAUGAACUGUACUUACAUUCUGUAAUACAUCAAUAUAGUUUGACUUUGUGUCCCUACCCAAAUCUCAUCUUGAAUUGUAAUCCACACAUGUGGAGAGAGUAACCUGGUAGGAGGCAAAUGGAACAUGUGGGUGAUUCCCCCAUGGUGUUGUCAUAAUAGUGAGUGUGUUCUCACAAGUCCUAUAAUUUAUAAGUAUUUGACAUUUCCUCCUGCUCUUUCUCUUUCCUGCUGCCUUAUCAAGAAGGUACUUGCUUCUCCUUCUCUUUCCACCAUGAUUUAAGUGUGCAGCAAGCAUCAUAGAUCUCCAGUUACUUAAGAAAACUGGGGCACACAGAGUCUAUGUAACUUAUGCACAACUGAGUUGAGAGAUGGGUUAUCAAUUCAAGUCUCUGCUACUACCAAGCCUAUCUUCUUUCUGCUGUACUGUGCUACUUCCACAGGUCACAAAUGGGUGGGAAAGCUCUAACAGGGAAAGAAGCCUAUCAUAUAUUGGUAACAAGAGCAAGAAACAUUAUUUGAAGUCUUAA
rnacentral:lncRNA from 13 species